GAUCAUGGCUCAGAACGAACGCUGGCGGCAGGCUUAACACAUGCAAGUUGAACGGGAUUUGUAUGGUGCUUGCACCAUGUAAUGAGAGUAGCGCACUGGUGAGUAACACGUGGGAACAUACCUUGAAGUGGGGGACAACAGUUGGAGACGACUGCUAAUACCGCAUAAUCCCUGAGGGGGAAAGGAUUUAUCGCUUUAAGAUUGGCCGCGAGAUAGUAGUGGUGGGUAAGGCCUACCAAGCCG
rnacentral:rRNA from 1 species